rnacentral:rRNA from 1 species
GACGAACGCUGGCGGCGUGCCUAAUACAUGCAAGUAGGACGCAGUUGCGAACGGGUGAGUAACGCGUAGGGAAAUACCUAUUAGAGGGGGGUAAAAAUUGGAAACGAUAGCGAAUACCGCAUACUAGUAGAUGGACCUGCGUUGUAUUAGCUAGUAGGUAGGGGAAUGGACUUCCUAGGCAACGAUACAUAGCCGAACCGAUGGGGUGGUCCGACACACUGGGACUGAGACACGGCCCAGACCCCCACGGGAGGCAGGAGUAGGGAAUCUUUGGCAAUGGGGGGAACCCUGACCCAGCAACGCCGGGUGAGUGAAGAAGGUUUUCGGAUCGUAAAGCUCUGUUGUUAAGGAAGCGGUACUUAACCAGAAAGGGACGGCUAACUACGUGCCAGCAGCCGCGGUAAUAC